GCACCCGUAGCUCAGCUGGAUAGAGCGUUGGUUUCCGGUACCAAAGGUCGUACGUUCGAAUCGUAUCGGGUGUACCA
rnacentral:tRNA from 1 species